rnacentral:snoRNA from 1 species
GUAAGGCUGCUGACGUUUUGAUGAGGUUGAUGGAGAAACUUGCCGAGGAUGGAGAUGCUAUAAUAAGCGCAAUGGACAAGCUGA